rnacentral:rRNA from 1 species
UACGUAGGGGGCAAGCGUUGUUCGGAUUUAUUGGGCGUAAAGAGCGUGUAGGCGGCCAGGUAGGUCCGUUGUGAAAACUCGAGGCUCAACCUCGAGACGCCGAUGGAAACCCCCUGGCUAGAGUCCGGAAGAGGAGAGUGGAAUUCCUGGUGUAGCGGUGAAAUGCGCAGAUAUCAGGAAGAACACCCGUGGCUAAGGCGGCUCUCUGGACAGUAACUGACGCUGAGACACGAAAGCGUGGGUAGCAAACAGG